AAUUCGACGCAACGCGAGAACUUACCUGGUCUUGACAUCCCGGAGACCCUUAGGAAACUAGGGGUGCUUCCAUCUGGAAGAAUCUGGAGACAGGUGCUGCAUGGCUGUCGUCAGCUCGUGUCGUGAGAUGUUGGGUUAAGUCCCGCAACGAGCGCAACCCUUGCCUUUAGUUGCCAGCAGUUCGGCUGGGCACUCUAAAGGGACUGCCGGUGUUAAACCGGAGGAAGGUGGGGGAUGACGUCAAGUCCUCAUGGCCUUUAUGACCAGGGCUACACACGUACUACAAUGGCCGAUACAAAGGGCAGCGACACUGCGAGGUGAAGCCAAUCCCGUAAAAUCGGUCUCAGUCCGGAUUGGAGUCUGCAACUCGACUCCAUGAAGUUGGAAUCGCUAGUAAUCGUGGAUCAGCAUGCCACGGUGAAUACGUUCCCGGGCCUU
rnacentral:rRNA from 1 species